GAUUUAUCGUACAAUUUUCUAUCAGGAAACCUGCCUUCUUGGGUAAACUCAGGCUUACAACUGAACCUUGUGGCGAACAACUUCAGACUAAGCAGAUCAAAUACAAGACAUUUUCCAGGAUUAGAUUGCCUUCAAAGAAGCUUCCCAUGCUUUAGAAAUGCUCCACGAUAUGCAAACUUAUCGGUCAAGUGUGGUGGA